ACUCCUACGGGAGGCAGCAGUGGGGAAUAUUGCACAAUGGGGGAAACCCUGAUGCAGCCAUGCCGCGUGUGUGAAGAAGGCCUUCGGGUUGUAAAGCACUUUCAGUGGGGAGGAAAGGUUGUUGGUUAAUACCUAACAGCUGUGACGUUACCCACAGAAGAAGCACCGGCUAACUCCGUGCCAGCAGCCGCGGUAAUACGGAGGGCGCAAGCGUUACUCGGAAUCACUGGGCGUAAAGAGCGUGUAGGCGGAUAGAUAAGUCAGGAGUGAAAUCCUAUGGCUCAACCAUAGAACUGCUCUUGAAACUGUCAAUCUAGAGUAUGGGAGAGGUAGAUGGAAUUUCUGGUGUAGGGGUAAAAUCCGUAGAGAUCAGAAGGAAUACCGAUUGCGAAGGCGAUCUACUGGAACAUAACUGACGCUGAGACGCGAAAGCGUGGGGAGCAAACAGGAUUAGAUACCCUGGUAGGCGUAGU
rnacentral:rRNA from 1 species